AGAUUGAACGCUGGCGGCAGGCCUAACACAUGCAAGUCGAGCGGUAGAGAGGUGCUUGCAUCUCUUGAGAGCGGCGGACGGGUGAGUAAUGCCUAGGAAUCUGCCUAGUGGUGGGGGAUAACGUUCGGAAACGGACGCUAAUACCGCAUACGUCCUACGGGAGAAAGCGGGGGACCUUCGGGCCUCGCGCCAUUAGAUGAGCCUAGGUCGGAUUAGCUAGUUGGUGAGGUAAUGGCUCACCAAGGCGACGAUCCGUAACUGGUCUGAGAGGAUGAUCAGUCACACUGGAACUGAGACACGGUCCAGACUCCUACGGGAGGCAGCAGUGGGAAUAUUGGACAAUGGGCGAAAGCCUGAUCCAGCCAUGCCGCGUGUGUGAAGAAGGUCUUACGGAUUGUAAAGCUACUUUAAGUUGGGAGAAGGGCAGGUUACCUAAUACGUAUCUGUUUGACGUUACGACUAGAAUAGACACCGGCUAACUCUGUGCCAGCACG
rnacentral:rRNA from 1 species